GACGAACGCUGGCGGCGUGCCUAAUACAUGCAAGUCGAGCGAAUCGAUGGGAGCUUGCUCCCUGAGAUUAGCGGCGGACGGGUGAGUAACACGUGGGUAACCUGCCUGUAAGACUGGGAUAACUUCGGGAAACCGGAGCUAAUACCGGAUACUUUCUUUUCUCGCAUGAGGGAAGAUGGAAAGAUGGUUCUGCUAUCACUUACAGAUGGACCCGCGGCGCAUUAGCUAGUUGGUGAGGUAACGGCUCACCAAGGCGACAAUGCGUAGCCGACCUGAGAGGGUGAGCGGCCACACUGGGACUGAGACACGGCCCAGACUCCUACGGGAGGCAGCAGUAGGGAAUCUUCCGCAAUGGACGAAAGUCUGACGGAGCAACGCCGCGUGAGCGAAGAAGGCCUUCGGGUCGUAAAGCUCUGUUGUUAGGGAAGAACAAGUACGAGAGUAACUGCUCGUACCUUGACGGUACCUAACCAGAAAGCCACGGCUAACUACGUGCCAGCAGCCGCCGUAACAC
rnacentral:rRNA from 1 species